UGAUGCACGGACCAAGAAGUCUAACAUGUGCGCGAGUCAUCGGGUCUUGUUUAGGCCCGUAGGCGGAAUGAAAGUGAAGGGCGAUUCAGUCGUCUGCGUUGGGAUUUUGGUCACUCGUGGCCAAAAGCACCAACGGCCCGUCCCGAUCGCUGCGUCGAUGGGGCGGAGCGAGAGCGUACACGUUGGGACCCGAAAGAUGGUGAACUAUGCCUGGGCAGGACGAAGCCAGAGGAAACUCUGGUGGAGGUCCGCAGCGAUUCUGACGUGCAAAUCGAUCGUCAGACCUGGGUAUAGGGGCGAAAGACUAAUCGAACCAUCUAGUAGCUGGUUCCCUCCGAAGUUUCCCUCAGGAUAGCUGGCGCUCGGAGGAGUCAUUCUCAUCCGGUAAAGCGAAUGAUUAGAGGCCUUGGGGCCGAAACGACCUCAACCUAUUCUCAAACUUUAAAUGGGUGAGAAGUCCGGCUUGCUCGACUGAAGCCCGGACGCAAGGAUGCGAGUGCCCAGUGGGCCACUUUUGGUAAGCAGAACUGGCGCUGUGG
rnacentral:rRNA from 1 species